rnacentral:rRNA from 1 species
AGUCCUACGGGAGGCAGCAGUGGGGAAUAUUGCACAAUGGGGGAAACACUGAUGCAGCGACGCCGCGUGAAGGAAGAAGUAUUUCGGUAUGUAAACUUCUCUCAGCAGGGAAGAAAAUGACGGUACCUGACUAAGAAGCCCCGGCUAACUACGUGCCAGCAGCCGCGGUAAUACGUAGGGGGCAAGCGUUAUCCGGAUUUACUGGGUGUAAAGGGAGCGCAGGCGGUUUAGCAAGUUAGAUGUGAACACCCGGGGCUUAACUC